rnacentral:lncRNA from 1 species
AGCGCUGAGCCCGAGCUGCUCUCCCGCUUCCCCCGAGGCUGCUACGAGGGCCCGUGCCCGGCCCAGGCCGCCCUCCUCCCCGGGCCCUGGUGCUCAGGCCCGGCCCCGCCCAGUGUCCCCCCCCCCCCAGCCUCUGGCCCCCAGCCCCGGCGCCGGCGCCGGCCCCCCCUCCUACCCACCACCACCACCGCCCCCCCUCCUCCGAGCUCGGGAGGACACCCCUCAGCCCUAGCGCCCCCCCCCCCCCCCCCCCCCCCCCCCCCCCCCCCCCCCCCCCCCCCCCCCCCCCCCCCCCCCCCCCCCCCCCCCCCCCCCCCCCCCCCCCCCCCCCCCCCCCCCCCCCCCCCCCCCCCCCCCCCGUUCUCAGGCGCAGGCUCAGCCCCAGGAGCCUUCGGGACACCUUGUCGCGUCGCGUCCCUCCCGGUGCCUGCCGGUCUCGGCCGGGGCCGCCCGCAGAACCCUUGUAGACCCUUCUCCACCGGUCUCCCCGGGGAGAGCAGACCCCGCGCGGCCGCAGGUGUCUUUGCCAACAUCCCUACUGAGGGCGUCAGACGUGUCGGGCGUGGGGUCGGUUCUCUUGUAGGAAGUGCCUUACAGGGGAAGAGGACAUUUCCGGAAGGAUCUCAGCCUCGAUCUGAUUUUUCUGAGAAGCCCGAGGCCCUUCCCCACCCCCGGCCCGGCGCGGUGCUGCUGCUUGGGCCCCGCAGCCGUGUCCCCGAGGCCAGGCGCCAGGCUUGCUGGGCCACGAGGAGGAGGCCUGGCCGGGGCUGCGGGGCCGCAGGACGGUCCCCCCCCGGCCUGGGCCCGGGCUUUGCUGGUGUCACGGCCCGUCCCCGGCAGCGUCGUCGCGGCUCCUGCGGCUCCUGGUGUGGGGCCUCCCGCAGCCCGUGCGGAGCGUCGGACGCGGCGGAGCCGAGGGCCUGCCCCUUCCCGGGGAGCCUUCCCGGUCCCGCGCUGUCCCGGGGUCACCGACCCUCAGAAGCCUGUGGCGCCCUCAGCCUCGGGACGGUCCCGUCGCUGGUCCCCGGGCCGCUCGCGGGCUCCCUGAGCAAAGCAGGACCGAGGCCUCGGGGCCCAGUGGGCAGCGUCCAGGCCGCGGGAGCUGCUCCUCAGGGGCCCGUGACCCCCCCUCCCCGCCCCGGGUGCCUCGGCCAAGCGGGGCCUCCCAGGCCAGCGGCGGCAGCUGUUCCUGGGCUCCGGGGGCAAGAAGAGGCCCAAGAGCAUCAGAGGGGACCCCUGCCCGGGAGGGCUUCCUGCCGACGGGCCGAGGUGCCGCAGCCCUGGCCUCCCCGGCCUCCCCGGCCUCCAGGCCUCCCGUGGGCCUCGGCUGGGUGUGGGGGCAGGACCACUGCCCCAGCAGGUGCUCGGCUGCCUCCCCGCUGCCCGCGGCCCCCUCCCUGCAGCGGAGCCGCUGCCUCUUCCACAGACUGA